rnacentral:rRNA from 1 species
CGCGUAUAGAACCUACCUUAUAGUAAGGGAUAGCCCAGAGAAAUUUGGAUUAAUACCUUAUAGUAUGAUAAGAUGGCAUCAUUUAAUCAUUAAAGAUUUAUUGCUAUAAGAUGGCUAUGCGUUCUAUUAGUUAGUUGGUAAGGUAACGGCUUACCAAGACAUCGAUAGAUAGGGGCCCUGAGAGGGGGAUCCCCCACACUGGUACUGAGACACGGACCAGACUCCUACGGGAGGCAGCAGUGAGGAAUAUUGGACAAUGGAGGCAACUCUGAUCCAGCCAUGCCGCGUGUAGGAAGACUG